rnacentral:tRNA from 1 species
GGGGAAUUAGCUCAGUUGGUAGAGCAACGGACUGUUAAUCCGUAGGUCGUUGGUUCAAGUCCAGCAUUCCCCGCCA